rnacentral:rRNA from 1 species
GACCCCAUGAAGUUGGAAUCGCUAGUAAUCGCGGAUCAGCAUGCCGCGGUGAAUAUGUUCCCGGGCCUUGUACACACCGCCCGUCACACCAUGGAAGUUGAUUAUACCCGACGUCGCUGGGCUAACUUCCCUUUCUUUAUAGAUUGGGCAGGGGCAGGCGCCUAAGGUACGGUCGAUAACUGGGGUGAAGUCGUAACAAGGUAGCCGUUGAGGAAUCAGCGGCUGGAUCACCUCCUUUCAAAGGA